rnacentral:rRNA from 1 species
AACGAACGCUGGCGGCAUGCCUAACACAUGCAAGUCGAACGAAGCCUUCGGGCUUAGUGGCGCACGGGUGCGUAACACGUGGGAAUCUGCCCUUAGGUACGGAAUAACUCAGGGAAACUUGAGCUAAUACCGUAUGAUGUCUUCGGACCAAAGAUUUAUCGCCUAAGGAUGAGCCCGCGUCUGAUUAGCUAGUUGGUGGGGUAAAGGCCUACCAAGGCGACGAUCCGUAGCUGGUCUGAGAGGAUGAUCAGCCACACUGGGACUGAGACACGGCCCAGACUCCUACGGGAGGCAGCAGGGGGGAAUAUUGGACAAUGGGCGAAAGCCUGAUCCAGCAAUGCCGCGUGAGUGAAGAAGGCCUUCGGGUUGUAAAGCUCCUUUACCCGGGAAGAUAAUGACUGUACCGGGAGAAUAAGCCCCGGCUAACUCCGUGCCAGCAGCCGCAGUAA